AGACAGAAAGUACAUUAGUGGUUGCCCUGGGGAUGGGGUCAUGGGGAACAGAAAGGAAGGGAUGGGCUCUGAACAGCAUGAAGAUACUUCUGGGAGUAGACAGGUUUAUUUUCUUGAGAGAGUAAUGGUUUCAGUGUCAAACUUUUGAAGUUGUGGACCUUAAAAAUGUCUGGAAUACAUCUAUUAAAGAGAAGCUAGCUCCCAUCCCCUUCGGUCAUUGUCGUUUGACUUAAUUUUUCUCCUUUACCUCUUCCAUCUUCACUGGAAUGGUGAUCUUUUCUUUAAAGACAGGAACAGAAUAAAAAGAGCUGCCCCCCCAAGCAAGAGGGAAUUGUUGGGGAGACUACCUUCAGACUUGAUGGACACCAUUGGCUCUCCAGACCUCCACCCGCUGGCUCACUCUUCAGAAUUUGGACUUGCCAGCCCUCAUAUGCAUAUGAGGCAAAUCUCUAUAAUAAAUUUCUUACUACAUACAUACA